rnacentral:lncRNA from 1 species
AGAAAUAUGCGGCGCUGUACUUGCGACUAGGUGGUGGGCGGCUAGAACGGAUUACAGACAACGAGGGCACUUCAAGCACCAACUAGAUAACACCUAAAAACCUAAAAACUCAUUAUUUUCUCCUAUUGUUAUAUAGCGGACAAAGAAUAGGGUCAUGCCACCACAGCGCAUGCGAUGCAACACGACGAGCAGGGUGCCCACGGCACAACAAACCCGUCCACAUGUGAAUGAAGGGAAAAGACAGAGGAUGCCGGCGGAUCAGCUGCGAGUGUCAACAUUACAACAUUCAUUAUUUAUUUGUUGAAUUUGCCACACCAUUACUACCACUACAAUCAACUGGACACAGGUCUUAACAAUGUGGAAACGACCCGUUACAAAUCUCAGGACUCCUUCCUUUCUCUUCUCGAGUGACUGUUUGGCUUCUCGAAUUCUGCGAGUACAAUGUCGUCCGUCCGUCCGUAUGUCUAUCUGUCCAUUUGAAGGAGGGGGUUCGGAGGGGCAGACAGUGGACGAAUCACUGGCGGCGGAAGGCAGUAAGCGCCUUUCCAAGGGGACAUCACCCCCUUGCAUCCCUCUGCCUGACACUUAAAAGGUGCUAUUUUGCUCUAUGUAAGUACGAUGAGGGCGCUCGUGCUUGUCGUUGUAGGGCUCUGUGGCUCUGAGGGCGACAGGCUGCUCCUAGAAGGUUCCUCAUACCCUAAAUAUUAGUAAGUACAUACAUACAUACAUACAGGUUCCCAAUCUGAUGACCAUGCAUGAAUGGUUGUAACGCGGUGGUGGCACUCCCCCGGUUGCUUUUGUUUCAGUUCUUCUGGUUGUGUUGUAAGGGGUAGAGGUAGGGGUAGGGGUAGAGGUAGGGGUAGAAGUAGACGUCGGGUUACCUGGAGUGAUGGAGGCAGUAGGUGGAUGCCCCCAGUCUGCUACAGCAGAGACCCCGUAAUAUACCUCCAUGUGAACUACGUACGUGAUUGCGCUGAACCGGCUUCACGUUAGGGGUUCAACAAGGUGGAUGCGGACAGGGAGGGGGAGGAGGAGCCGCGUCCUGGUCCCCCAGGGUGUCCGACAAGGUUUAGCUUGAUAUUGCUGGCCCUUGCAUUCCGCACUACACAGCACACGACAUAACUCACAAUUUCAUCCUUACACACUUACACCCACACUCAGGCUGCGAAGCCUGAACAGCAAAAUACGUCUAGUGCUUACGCGUUAGUGCAGGCCUACGGGGCGAAAUGUACCUAAUGUGACUGGCAGGGGUUGGCGUGUUCGGAGGGGCUUCCUCACGCCGUCGGUGGUGGCGGUUGUAGGUAAGGUCCCGAGGAUCCCUGUCAGGCCAUCAAGCAGGCGGGUUUCGCACAGCUUUCGCUGACUGCUGCUCAAGAGGGCUCCUCACAUGUCAGGAAUUGUCUGCCGGUGUCUUGCGCCUCCUCUAUGCAUCAACCUCGCGCUGUGCCAUCUGCAAGGACAGAUGGCAGACAUAGAUUAACCUUCGCUUUGGUGUGGUGGAACCACUUCGAUGUUCACAUCCACGUUUGGCAAUAUAUUUCAUCGGCAAAACGGUCGGUCCGAUCCGAAGCAGGGGCGCGAUCACUGUGGUUUGAUUUGCAACCCGGGAACUUCCAGGUAAGCAGCCGUAACAUGGCUUUUUGCAAUCGCAAAAUAUGAAAGAUUCCGAAAUAGGUAUCCCAAACAUCUGAAGUUACAGGCAUCCCGAAGUUACUGUACGGAAAAGGAGGGUUACCUUUUUUCGUUAUCCACCUGAAGUACACGUGCUGCCCGUAAAAUCAGGUUGCAAGUUAGUGAAUCGUCACUUCAAUGAUAGUAUUAUUGUAGUAGAAAUAUUUGUUACAUUUGCAGCCAUUACAGAUGAUCUAUGCGGGCUGAGCAUCGGCCGGUGUACACGGGGCCGGACGUUCUCUCGGGCAACCGAGGAUUUUUGCGUAUCUGACUGGAGGUUUACUGCUGAUCUGAGCCUUGGAAACGACUAUUGAUUCGUGAGUGCUUAUCAGGUAAUGAGGGCUUUCCACGCCUUCCUAGGGUUUACCAGGGUUUGCGGGGAAUUCAAGGAUAUGUGGAGCCUGUAAACAUUAUGAUAUAAAAAUUGUAAAUUUUUGUUGAUAUUUUAGUACUUGCCUAUUGUGGUCAGUUGGAACGCUGCCCUGCCUUCUUUCAUGCAGGCAGCCAGCUAUCUCCCAAUCCUAAUGCUUGCGCAUCAGGUCGGCAGUCUAGAUGCUUGGCUUGAAAGCCCAUAUCCUGGUUGCGGCAUCGGUAUUCCUGCCCUGCAAGUAUGCCAGGGACAGACCCGCUCUCGUUCUAUGCUGGGAGGACCGUCGCGGUCGCUCCCAACACCAGAUUGUGCAACAGCAAGCAUGAAUGCUGUGAGAACAAUUACCUGUAAAAGUACCAGUCAGGAUGCAGCUGGUCAGACGGCUUCGACAACUCCGGCCCCUGAU